GGAGGGAUGGCAGAGCGGUUGAAUGCACCGGUCUUGAAAACCGGCGGCCACGCGAGUGGCCCGUGGGUUCGAAUCCCACUCCCUCCGCCA
rnacentral:tRNA from 1 species